AAAUUUUGCUGUAAAAAAUAAAACAGAAAAAUAUAUGGAGAUGCGGGGUAUCGAUCCCCGUACCUCUCGCAUGCUAAGCGAGCGCUCUACCAUCUGAGCUACAUCCCCAGUUUGUUCAUUGUAAAUAAUAAUAUUUAAUUACGGGACUGAUGCAUACUCUUCUUGCUUACAUGUAGAACAAGUUGUAUAGUGUGGAAAUGGAAACGAGGUCUACCAAGAGCCCAAGCCACUGGCUGAGGCGAGUCCUGCAACGAGCUUCAUCUGGCCCCCAUAUUCCCAAAUCAUCAUAUUACUUACCUUCUCAUCUUUCACCUUCUUUGCCACGCAAACCAAACCACUUCUCAACCUACUGCCACGUUCUCCAUUGAUUGCUUUGGUCUAUACACUCCACCUGAGCAUUCUCAUGAACCUAGCUCUGAUUCUGAGCUCCUCGUCAAGCAUCUCAAAGGCAUCAUCAAGUUUUCAUUUCCAACUUUUCUUUAAUUCUAUGCAUAUUUUGUGUAUUCAAUUAUCAUCUCAAGUUAGUAUGCUCUUAGAAUUAUAAGAUGGAUGGUUCCAUCUCAAAAUUACAAUAACUCUUUCGGCUCUCUAUUUUGGAUCGAUUUUCGGAUUUUUAGUGGUUGGCUCUGAUACUAUGUUAGAAUAGUAGGAUAUAUUGGUUCCAUCUCAAAAUCAAUUAGUUACGAGAGGAGUAACCAUGGAUCAUAUGACUCUCUAUCAUUUGCAAAAUGCUAAUCUAUGUUAGUGAAUAUUGGUAUGAUUUCACCAUAAUCAGCUGAGAUGGUUCAUUAGAGCCAUUGCAUAAUGUAAUUUACAUUAGAGUCAAUUUUUAUGUUUAUUGUUUGUUAGUUCCGAGGUGGUCCAAUCUGAUUGCUGAGUAUAUGGAGGAAGUUUUGACAAAUUCUAAAGCUGGAUUUUAUAUUAGCCGAGAUGUGUUUGGAGCAUAAGGUGAUUUUAUCACCUCUUCUGAAGUGAGUCAGAUGUUUGGAGAGAUAAUUUGCUUGUUUGAGAUUCAUUCUUGUUUGUUAGUUCACUUGAGUAUUGAAAGUUGAUUAUAAUGAACUACUUUGUAUAUUGAA